rnacentral:lncRNA from 1 species
ACCGAUCUGAUGUCUUGUCCACCGCAGGGUACUGCACAGUAUAAUUUCUCUGUAACCAUUUCGUUACACGUGUUCAGAUGCUUGGAUCAAAACUUAUGUAACGAGGGUCUCACCGCACCAUAUGGCGCUAUUGAUGUCGCGAUCGGUGCAGCCAAUCAGGGACAGGUGGGCAGCCAUGGAUUCUUAGUUUCUUACAGAGGGAGG